GCCUCACUGCCCGCGCUCUGUCUCCACCAGCAGAGGUGGCAUCCCAGGGUGCCCGGGGAUCUUUUCUCCUCUUUCUUAUCUUUCUGCCGUCUUAUCUUUCUCAGUAUUUUCACUUACACCAGGGGAUCGGCUUGCUCUGAUGUUGUUGGUGUUAAAAAAAAAAAAAAGAAAAAAAGAAAACCAAACCACAGGACCAUUAAAAAUUCAUUUGCACACGACCUAAGGGUUUAUUGGUUUGUUUGCCCAGAUCCGGGGAUGCCUACCUGUUAAAAUGCAAAGCUCUCCAAAGUGAGACCCGCAGCUGUGCUGCCCGCACGCGGCCAGAGAGCUCGCUGUGCCAGGUUCGGCUGCACAGCUGGCAUUGUUUCAGUGCGAAGAGAGGCCGUCCCUGUUGGUUCAGUGUGAAGAGCUGUUUCCAGGCGAAACUUUAAAGGCUCAUGAAAGUGGCUGUGCUGUAUGUGAAAGAUCUCAUCAUUCUUGUGGGAGAGACACAACACCCACCCCUGGAAAGGCAACAGAUUGCUCCUGUCAUAUCGCCGGGGCUGUGUUGGAGUGUACUUAAAGGAUUAUGAUUGAUAAGGCUGUCUUGCCAGCGAAUGUUGACACAGGUGAUAAAUACGAUGCGUCCAUAAUACACACGGAGGUGCUCAGCUAAGUUCACUUCUGAACUGUGGGGUUGCUCCAGAUGUUGGUGAAAUCUGUCCUUACACAUCCCAAGUCCCAUCUGCAAGAAGGACGUGGUGGGAAGCUGAAGCUAACCAGUGUUGUUUCCUCUUUAAGAGCCUGCAGUCGCUAGCAAAGCUGCUGGGCCGGCUGUUGGAGCGGAAGGUUCUGGAGACAGCAGAUUCAGCUGUCCAUCUCUGAGGUUUCCUGUGAUCUGUUUCAAUCUAGCUGCAAAGGAUGUGGAAGGAUCAAGUACCCAGGUGGUUGAAACAUGUUUUGAAGGUUCCUGUCCAUAAACUAUUCAAUUUUUCCAAUUAAAAUCCUCAGUUGCCCUGAGGAAGAAGGCAGAAAGAAGCAGAGAUACAGAGAGAGAACUUCAGCCUGCUGGUUCACUCCCCAAAUACAUCAGCAAGCGCAAGGCCAGGUGAAGCCCAGAGUGACAGAGAAGCAAAGGCAGAGAGAAAGAGAGGUCUUCCAUCCACGGAUUCAUUCCCCAAAUGGCUGCAACAGCCAGAGCUGGGCUGAUCUGAAGCCAGGAGCCAGGAGCUUCUUCCAGGUCUCCCAGGAGGGUGCAGGGGCCUAAGGACUUGAGCCACCUUCUACUGCUUUCCAAGGCCAUGGCAGAGAAUUGGCUUGGAAGUGGAGCAGCUGGGACUUAAACUGGUGCCUAUAUGGGGUGCCAGCACUACAGGCAGUGGCUUUACCUGCUAUGCCACAGCACCGGCCCCCAGCUCACAUAGUUUUGAUACUGUUUGUUAAACACAUACAUGUUAAAGAUUAUUAUGUCUUCUUGGAGAACUGACUCCUUUGUGUAAUGUUUCUCUCUAUAACUUUCUCUGAAAUCUACUACAUCUGAAACUAAUAUAGCUACAUCUGCUUUCUUUUGAUUAGUGUUAGCAUGGUAUAUUUUUAUCUAUCCAUUUAUUUUAUUGAAGAGACAGAGCUUCUAUCCGCUGAUUCACCCCCAAAUACCCACAAUGGCUACCAACUGGGCCAAAGCCAUGAGCUAGCCAGCCUGGAAACUGAAGUCCACAGACAGUGUCUGGCAGCCCAUGACAAACUGAAUGUGGAAAACACGAGACGCUUUUAGAGACUUAGAGAGCAAUUUCACAUUCUUGUUACCCACAUGUAUCUUCUGUAUUUCCUAAGACAGCACACCACACCAGCAACACAUAGCCGGUCUUCCACUGCAGAUAGGAGAAGCAUGGAAUCAAUGGUCAACAAAAUGAGGAUUUGGGGUGGGGACUAUACCAAGCUGGGUGGGGGAAACAGAGAAAAGGCUACUGAUGGCUGGGGGGUGCAGGGGAGUAGCUUUCCAAGGGUUCCUAACCCCACGGAGAGAACAUCUACAGCAGGGGUCAGCCAACUUUCUCUGCCAAGAACCAGAGAGUAUUUGGGCUUUGUGGGCCAGAGAUCUCUGUCACAGCUGCUUUGUCAUCGCAGUGCAAAAUCCGUCGUAGACAAGUGGGCACAACUGCCUGCCUGUGAAUCUUUCAAGAAAGUGUUCCAGCAGCAGUCAGGAAACAGGCUCAGGCUGCCUUCACGUCGCUGACAUGCGCUCGCAAGGAGAGAGAAUGUCCUCUCCUUCGUUCUCUAAGCGGGCUCUUGGGGGCCUUGCUGGGUUUCCCUGUAGACUUUCUAAACCCCAGUUCUCUUCUCCCCCAGAAAUAUAAAGUGAAUAAUUUGCCUGUACGUGCUGAUCAGUUGGUGCAACUUGAAAUAGCCUUCCCCAGUGGAGUGCAAGGUGUGUAGCCCAUCCCAAGCAUACUUUAAAUGUUCAUCAAAUCUUCAACCCUGACCUUUAUGAAACAGCGCGGAAGUUUCUUGCUAGUAAACUCUGCCGUGAUGUGACUCUGUAAUGUCAGCACGUGUUUUGAUGGGCCGUGGGUGUCUGGAGCCUGGAGAGGAGAGGUUGGCUGGUCCCAAACUGGCAGAAGGCCUGAUGCUUACAAGAUGUGCGUGUCCAUGCUGUCCAUCCUCGCGAUUCAGAGACCACCGGGGGACAUGCAGACUUUGAUACCUAACCGUACAGCACAUCAGCUAAGCCGGUAGGCACUGAAGGCAGACAUGCAUGCCUGUUUCUGUGGCAGUAUCAUCUAUUAGAAUGGCCAUGUACAUUUAUCAACGUAAAACAAUGGUGUCACUAAAACCCUGCCAUGGCCAGUAUCAGGGAAACGGGUGAAGAAAGUCUGCUAACAAUAUGGAUAGCUCUUUGUCACCGCUCUCUGUCCCCAGGGGGCUCAUCCUUCACUUUUUCCCCAAGGCCACAAAUCAGGAUAGCCUUUGUUGGCCUGGCUGAAUGUGAUCACCUAGUAGGAAAGCUGUGACUCUGACGUGCUGGUGCUGCUCUGAGUGUCUUCCCGGUAGCCAGUCUUGUAUUCUGAAAGGAAAGCCAAACAGGACAAUGUCCACCCAGCAGCCCGUGCUCAGGGGCAGGGGCAGAGCGCGCGUAACAGCAUUUGGCAGGUUGCUCUCCUUCAAAUUUCCAGUUCUUCUCUUUGACUUUGUUAUAUUUUGUCUCUAAUGACCCCCAAGAAAAGUUGAUGUAAUUCUUGAACUCAUUUCUCGUUUGUCUGACAGCCAAACAACUUGUAAAUUGUGUUUCAGUUCAACCUGCUAUGUCUUUAUGAUGCACAGUUGAAAACAGGAGGUGUGGAAUACUACUGGCUCCCCCAGUUGUGUGCGUCAGGUUUGUUCCCCUGCACUCACUUCUCAUGAGUGCAGUGUGUGUAAGUUAGCACUUUUAUGUCUCUUUUCUCAGCCCUUAUCUUUGGACAUUGAGUUUUUCAUUUUGAAUAAAUUUAUUUUCAAUUUUGAAGAGCAUGAGUUUAUCUUAGUUCAUUCGAAUGUUAUGUACUUUUAUGCUGAAUUGUUUACUAUGGGUUUGGUUAUUGGCCUAUUUUAUUUGUCAUUUUAUGGAAUACAUAUUUUCAGUGGAGACGCUUAGGCUAAGCUAUAUUUAUUUAUACCACAGUACAUUAACCAUAAAACUAUCUAACUACAGUAAAACCACAAUAAUCUGGAACCCUUAGGGAGUGGGUUAUUGAGGAUAGCCAAGUUUUAAGAAGUAGCAUUAACUCUUUGUGAUGGCAGUGUUUCCAACGCGUGUCUUGUCUUUCCUUUUUAUCCCGCAUACGAUAUGCUGAGUCUCAUUCAGUUGUGAUAGGAAGACUACUCAUCAGUGAGGACUGAACCGUGUACCUCAGUUCUCGUCGAAGGACUCAGGCUUUUUGUUUUGCUUCGCCUUGUUUUAGUUUAGGUUUGGCUUUCGUGUGCUUUGUGUUCAGUUCUAGUUCACGUUGGCAUUUCCUAACAUUUCUGUUUCUUCCGUUGU